GAUCUGGUGUCUCACGAGAUGGAUUGGUGUUGAUGGGAGAAAGAUAUGCGACAUCAAAAUACAGCCAUUCAGAUAUGCAUGCUUUCCUAGCUAGCUUUGGCUUUAAAGGAGAAGCUCUUUCUGACGUUUCUUUUUGGCAAUUCCAAAACUUAUGGGAGUCCAAAUGGAUAUCGUAAGGUUUUGAAGGGUGGCAAGUGUUUGUACCUUGGAAUUGAUGACCGUAGAGAAGAUGUUGGUACAACAGUCAGUUUUUUGUGAUGUAUUUUACAACCAACCUUUUUCGAAGGGUGCAAAUGCAUUCCUAG